GAUGACCCGGUGCUUGCAUCGGUGAUUAGUGGCGAACGGGUGAGUAACACGUGAGUAACCUGCCCUUAACUCUGGGAUAAGCCUGGGAAACUGGGUCUAAUACCGGAUAUGACUCCUCAUCGCAUGGUGGGGGGUGGAAAGCUUUUUUGUGGUUUUGGAUGGACUCGCGGCCUAUCAGCUUGUUGGUGAGGUAAUGGCUUACCAAGGCGACGACGGGUAGCCGGCCUGAGAGGGUGACCGGCCACACUGGGACUGAGACACGGCCCAGACUCCUACGGGAGGCAGCAGUGGGGAAUAUUGCACAAUGGGCGGAAGCCUGAUGCAGCGACGCCGCGUGAGGGAUGACGGCCUUCGGGUUGUAAACCUCUUUCAGUAGGGAAGAAGCGUAAGUGACGGUACCUGCAGAAGAAGCGCCGGCUAACUACGUGCCAGCAGCCGCG
rnacentral:rRNA from 1 species